CAGGUAACAAGGUAAACAAAGGGUCACAUGUCAUUGAUGACCAGGUCAUUCCCAUGUCUACUGUUGAAUAUCAGACAAACUGCAGCAAUUCAUUACGGAAUACACUUCACUGAUACACUUCCUCAUCAGAAUGAGUAAAGCCUGAAAUAACUUUAGAAGCUUAGACAUAAGAGAAUGUACAUGAAAACAGCAUACAGUAAGUGUACUGGACAUUUUUAUUGGUGUCAAUGCAUUAGCAUUAGAAAUGACAAUAUGUUCAGAAUUGUAUUUAUUGAUUUUUAUUUAACCUUUUAACCUAAAAGCCUUCUAGGCAAGUCAGUUAAGAACAAAAUUCUUAUUUACCACGACGGCCUAACCCGGCCAAACCCGGACGACGCUGGGCUAAUUGUGCGCCGCCCUAUGGGACUCCCAGUCACAGCCGGAUGUGAUGCAGCCUGGAUUCGAACCAGGGACUGUAGUGACACCUCUCGCACUGAGAUGCAGUGACUUAGACCGCUGCGCCACUCGGGAGCUCUGUAUUGUAUGUAUUGAUCAGACAUUUAUUUAAUAAUUUACGAUCGGCCAGCAUAGCCAAAAUAUUGAUCAACAUGAACACAUGAGAAAUAAAGGUGAGAAAUAAAGGUGAGAAAUAAAGGUGAGACAUCAUUUGACAGAAAACUAAUUUAGAGCCAUAAGUCAUAAUCUAACCCUAACCCUGCCGCCCUACAGUGUUCAGGACCCCAUUGAUUCAUACAGUUUGUAACGCUCAUCUCCUGUCUGAAUGGCUUGGAAGAAAAAUAAUACAAAGUAACAAAAUGUGAUGUCGUAUCACGUAAAAGUGAAUUACUUAGACUUUAGGAAAUGUAACCAACUAAGAGAUUGAUGGGAGAGGAGGGGAGGUAGACAAGCUUCAAUCACCC
rnacentral:lncRNA from 1 species